CAGGCUCCUCUGUCCAUGGGAUUCUCCAGGCAAGAAUACUGGAGUGGAUUGCCAUGCCCUUCUCCAGGGGAUCUUCCCUACCCAGGGAUUGAAUCCAUGUCUCUUUUGUCUUCUGAAUUGGCAGACGUGUUCCUUACCACUUGCGCCAUCAGAGAGGUCCUUUUUUAAAAAU